GGUCAAUGAUGUAUUGGCAUGUAUUAUCUGAUUUAAUGCUGAUGUGUAUUAACACUAGCUCUAGAAUUACACUGAGACCUU
ensembl:snoRNA